rnacentral:pre_miRNA from 1 species
UUAAUGGGGCUUGAUCCAUGGUCUGCUGAAGUCAAUAGGAGUCUUUCCACUGACUUCAGUAGACCAUGGCUCAGGCCAAUACAA